AAUCUCGCAACGUCGCAACCUUGCAUGGCAACAGCGGAUUUCUUGAAGUGCAGCGACAUUCUAUGGCAGCGAACAAUGUGUAUCCACAUAACCUGUAAUAAGUUCUUGUUCGGUGCAGAAACAACCAUGGAAAACAUUAUAUGGAGAAUAUCUCAUUUUGCAUACGAGUAUUUCGCUGAAAAAGAAAAUUCUGUGAAAUCAACAUUUUGGGCUACAUAGUCGUUGUUAAAGUCAACUCUGUUAAUAUAAAACAGCAUAGAUAUAAUCUAAGUACACCAAGUUCUCAAGCAAAAAAUAUAGGUUAUGUUUCCCAGAAAUCAAAUAUAUUUACAAGAGAAAACUUACGAAAAUUUUUAACGGAGGCCCGUGAUUAAUGUACCUAAUGUCAAAGGUAUAUUUUUUAUUCGAAGUUGUAGGAGUAUGCGGAAUGGAAGAAUUUGAACAAUUUUCUUGUAUCUACAUAACCUAUAAUAAGCUUUUAUUAUUAUUACAGAACAGAUUAUUAGCUUACAUGCCCAUUUUAAAUGAAAGUAUGAAGCAUACCUCUUAUUUUUCGGCACUUUUAAUAUUUUUGCUUGCAGAAAGAUCUGUAGCAAUUGCAAAAUAGAGAUGGAUAGCAAUAAUAACAAGCAGUUUACAUGCAUUCGACCGAACUUGCAAAAACUGGCAGAUAAUAUAUCAAAUUUAUUACCUAAAAACUCAGCCACAGUUUAUGAAAAGCGGUAUGAAUUUUUUUUUUGCGCAGAAACAACCAUGCAAAAUAUAUGGAGAACACCUCAUUGCAUACGAGUAUUUCGCUGAAAAAGCAAAUUCUGUGAAAUCUUUAACACUUUGGGCUGCAUAGUCGUAGUUAAAGUCAACUCUGUUAAUAAAAAACAGCAUAGAUAUAUCUAAGUACACCAAGUUUUCAAGCAAAAAAUAUAGGUUACAUUGCCAAGAAAUCAAAUAUAUUUGCAAGAGAAGACUUACCAAAAUUUUUAACAGAAGCCCGUGAUUAAAUGUACCCGAUGUUAAAGGUUUAUUUUUUAUUAGAAGUUGUAGGAGCAUGUGGAAUGGAUAAAUUGAAAAAUAAUGACGGCAUUCAAGACAAAAACGAUACGCUAAUAAUUAAAAUUCCAACGUCUAAAACUGGCAAAGCACGAGAAUUUACAAAUAUGUGUAAAAAUAUUUAUCCAAUUGAAAUAUAGUAAAAAUACCUAAUUUUAAGACUGCACCAUACACCAGACAAAUCAUUAUUUAUACAUUACAUUUGGAUAGUGAAUGCAGCAGCUGCUGCAUUGUACAAAUAUACCUGCAAACACACUGUAACAAAUUAUGCAGACACCUCUUUUGACUCAAAGAUAUAUAUUUAACU